rnacentral:tRNA from 1 species
CCUUCAGGGGCGCAAUUGGUUAGCGUGUGGUACUUAUAAUGUCAAGGUUGUGCGUUCAAACCUCACCUGGAGCA